rnacentral:rRNA from 1 species
GAUGAACGCUGGCGGCGUGCCUAAUACAUGCAAGUCGAGCGAACAGACGAGGAGCUUGCUCCUCUGACGUUAGCGGCGGACGGGUGAGUAACACGUGGAUAACCUACCUAUAAGACUGGGAUAACUUCGGGAAACCGGAGCUAAUACCGGAUAAUAUAUUGAACCGCAUGGUUCAAUAGUGAAAGACGGUUUUGCUGUCACUUAUAGAUGGAUCCGCGCCGCAUUAGCUAGUUGGUAAGGUAACGGCUUACCAAGGCAACGAUGCGUAGCCGACCUGAGAGGGUGAUCGGCCACACUGGAACUGAGACACGGUCCAGACUCCUACGGGAGGCAGCAGUAGGGAAUCUUACGAAAUGGGCGAAAGCCUGACGGAGCAACGCCGCGUGAGUGAUGAAGGUCUUCGGAUCGUAAAACUCUGUUAUUAGGGAAGAACAAAUGUGUAAGUAACUAUGCACGUCUUGACGGUACCUAAUCAGAAAGCCACGGCUAACUACGUG